CCCGGCCUGCGAGCCCUGGGGAGGGGGGGUGCGGGUCUGUAACCCGGCCUGCGAGCCCUGGGGAGGGGGGGUGCGGGUCUGUAACCGCACCUGCGAGCCGCGGGGGGCAGCGGGUCUGUAACCCAGCCUGCGACCAGCUGGGGGCUGCGGGUCUGUAACCGCGCCUGCAACCCCGGGGAUCUGCGGGUCUGUAACCCGGCCUGCGACCAUCUGGGGGCUGCGGGUCUGUAACCGCGCCUGGCGGGGGGGUUGUGGGUCUGUAACCGGGCCUGCGACCAGCUGGAGGCUGCGGGUCUGUAACCGCGCCUGCUAGCCGCAGGGGCUACGGGUUUGUAACCGGGCCUGCGAGCCGCGGGGGGGCCUGCGGGUCUGUAACCGGGCCUGCGAGCCGCGGGAGCGCAGAGGUCCGCGCAGAGGUCCGCGCGGCGGCCGCCUCCCCCUUCUCCUUUGUGCCGAGGGACGCCCGGGGGCUGCGGCCGCGCUGAGCCCCCGCCGGGGCCCCGCCGCCGUCUGGUCCGAGGGCUCCUGAAGGCCUCAACCAGGGCACGUGGGUCACCCAGAACAGAAUCGGCCUCGCCGCCGGGGCUCUGGUUCCGGGGCUGGGAUUUCCUGCUGCCUGGCUGUGUCUCAGGCAUGCUUUGCCUCCGGGGAUUAGAGGAAGGAUAACAUAUGGACGUGGAAAACCUCUGAUACAACCUACAGAGCUAGACAACAGCUGCUAUGUGGGCCAGUUUACCGAGGAGAGCAUUCGCCACCAGCUGGGGGGACUGAGUCAUUCAUUCAUCAAAAACGCAGGACUGUCUACCAACUGUGGAAUUAGACAUCCUGUCUGUAUCUCCUGGCAAUGCAAUUCUCCCUCCUUUUGGGACACUGUCCUCAGCAGUGGGCUCCUCUCCGGAGCUCGCGCGAUCAUAGAACCUCCCUCCCACCACCACCANCCACCACCACCACCACCACCACCACCACCACCACCACCACCUACGCGUGUUCAUCCAAGGAUGGGUGUGUGACCGAGAUAGGUCAAGCAGAGUGCUCCCCCAAGAUUAUAGCUUAAAGAGGGGCAGAUACUUUCUGUUCCCUACGGGGAGGCUUUGCCCUCAGCAGUCGACAGUGAAACCAAACUCCCAACAGAGCAAAGGUAAGAGGAAGAGAGAAACAGGGCAUGUUCUGAUACCACAAUAGCAAGCCAGGUCCCUGGAAUAGCGGGGAUGCUUGCAGCUCCUUGAUUCUGGGAUCUCCCUCCAACAUCCUCUCAAAUUCAAGCUGGUAAUUUUACUCUCUUAAGGUUGUAAAAAUGGAUUUUCUUUCAUUCAUAACUCAGAGAAUCUCAGCACAACAGGCCACAGGGAAGAGGUUUUAUUUGGACUGGACAUUAAAAAAUAGAUGUAGGUUAGCAAACAUUUAGGAGAAGACUUUUUAGACUAGAAGGUGAUGAACUAUGGCUCACAGGCCAAAUCCAGGCACUGGGUUUCGGGUUUUAAUUAAUUAAUUAAUUUUUAUUUAGGGGGAGAGAGAGAGAAGGGUAGGAACAGGCAGGGGGAGAGGGAGAAAGAGAAUCCCAAGCAGGCUCCCAGUGCAUAGCCCAACACAGAGCUGGAUCCCAUACCCCCGAGAUGAUGAUCUGAGCUAAAAUCAAGUCAGGCCAACCCAGUGACCCAGGUGCCCCAGCCCACUAGAUUUUAAUGACUACAUUUUAUAUGCUUAAAUGGUUACAUUUUAAGUGGUUGCAUAAAAACAAUGUAAUAUUUUCAAUUUUGUCUCUCAGGUCCCAAAUCUAAAAUAUUUACUAUUGGACCCUUUUCAGAAAAAGUUUGUCAACUAGUACUAGGCAGAAAGAGCACUCAGUAAGCCAAAUGGUUGAAUAGGAAGGUGGCACUAUUAGGAAGGUAGUGUUAUGGUGAUUUUUAAGUUCCUUGCCUUCUGACUUUUUAAAAAAAUUAUGGUCAUAGAGAAUAUUUAUAAUAGAUAUUUUCAGUUUUCCUCUCCAAAUCCACUGCCUCUGCUUCUCUC
rnacentral:lncRNA from 1 species